rnacentral:lncRNA from 1 species
CCGCCUAGGCUCCGCCUAGAACCGCCUAGCCCGCCUAGUCCCCGCCUAGCACCGCCUAGUCCCCGCCUAGCACCACCGCCUAGCCCGCCUAGUCCCCGCCUAGGCGGCCGCCUAGUAGCCCAGCGCCUAAGGGAAACGCCUAGGCCAAAAUCGGAGCGGUUCCUUGCCGCCUAGCGCCUAGGCGCCGCCUAGGCGGCCGCCUAGGCCG